AUUGUGACUCGUUUGAGCUCUUAGCCAGGCGUGUAGUCUGGCGGGAGCCGUCGCGGCUGGCUCGGCAGCUCCAGGCUAUUCCGAGGAACAGUCUUCAGAGAGCCUGGGGUGCUGAUGGGGAAAAGCUGUUGCUGAGAUUUGACAAGUUUGGUCCUGAGAUGUCAGAAAGGAUUUCAGCUCUUCUGCCACCCCAAGGACGGUGGCGCGUAAAUCACAAGGCAUGCAAGCAGGACACUUUCACAUAUGCAUUCAAGAUGACCUAUGCAAGGCGUUGUGCUAAGUGCUAGGAGUGCAGAGGAGAACGAGACCCAGUGGGGAAACAGGCACUUGCAAUGCUGCUAGGACAAUGAAUCCAGGCAGUGAUCCACCAAUGAUAACUAACAUCAUAAAAAGAUACAUGGCCGGAUAUGAUGUUCCUUCUGACGGAAGACCACAACACCUGCUGAAAAAUCAAAUCUGAAUCGGAUCAAGCCUCUAGAGGAGGCAGCACCCAGGGUCAUUCCUGGAGCAUAAACGAUCCCUGCAGAACAUGGGCUAGAAGACCCCACAGUGGGGCAGAGGCAGGUCCUGGACUGGGAUCCCAGCAGUGAGAAGACCUGGACAUCAACCCUAUUUCAUUGUGCCUCUGCAAAUCUCCCAACUUUUGGAGCUGUAGCUGCAAGCUCAGACUUGUGGUUUCCUGUACCUGGAGGAGGCCCAGGUCAUUCUGUUAAGUCCCUUGUCUAUUUCCUGCUUUUAUCUGGAUGCUGAGUUAAUUAUUUGAUCCAACAAUAAAACUAACAAGGUUUUA
ensembl:lncRNA LINC00642 long intergenic non-protein coding RNA 642